GACGAACGCUGGCGGCGUGCUUAACACAUGCAAGUCGAACGGAAAGGCCCUGCUUUUGUGGGGUGCUCGAGUGGCGAACGGGUGAGAACACGUGAGUAACCUGCCCUUGACUUUGGGAUAACUUCAGGAAACUGGGGCUAAUACCGGAUAGGAGCUCCUGCUGCAUGGUGGGGGUUGGAAAGUUUCGGCGGUUGGGGAUGGACUCGCGGCUUAUCAGCUUGUUGGUGGGGUAGUGGCUUACCAAGGCUUUGACGGGUAGCCGGCCUGAGAGGGUGACCGGCCACAUUGGGACUGAGAUACGGCCCAGACUCCUACGGGAGGCAGCAGUGGGGAAUAUUGCACAAUGGGCGGAAGCCUGAUGCAGCAACGCCGCGUGCGGGAUGACGGCCUUCGGGUUGUAAACCGCUUUCGCCUGUGACGAAGCGUGAGUGACGGUAAUGGGUAAAGAAGCACCGGAUAACUACGUG
rnacentral:rRNA from 1 species